GGUGGCUCAGUGGUAGAGCGCUUGUCUUGCAUGCAUGAGGUCCUGGGUUCGAUUCCUUAGUACCA
rnacentral:tRNA from 1 species